UGCGAGUACAAGUUUGGUCAAAGUGCGUUAUGUUUUGUCAGUUUGGUUAAUUUGCAAUUUUCUAGCAUCCAAAAUAAUUUUCAGUCAGGUAGCCUACUUGUGAUGACAUUUUUUUACAAACGUCAUUUGUAAAGCACUUUUUUCACGAAGAGGAAAGUUCGAAGGACAUCUGCUUUACAUCGCCAUUCGCCAUCCGAAGUCCUUCAACUGCACUGACCUGCAUCUGCAUCUGUACCUACACGGUGUGUGCCACUGCAGCUGACGUUGAGACAACCCUGACUGUACCCGCAAGUCCUCGCCUGAUUCUACUUGGUGGAACUGGGCAAGUCACUUUUGGGCGCUGGAUGAUCACGCUUGAGGGUCGUGUCAUAUCUGAAGGCAUCACAUCAACCUUUUUGACGGGACUUGCUGCUGUAUUUGCAAUAUACUAUAUGCUUAACCUCCAAUAUCAAGAAGAAGCAGCCUGUACUCUGGAAUUCAUUUAGAGGUGAGACUGCUUGAAUUUCCUUUUCGUCAUUAUAGCUUUUCUUGAGUUAUAAUUGCUAAAACCUGCAUCACCAGAAACCAUUACUUUGCCUAAAGGGAUAGUUUGCAUUUAUACCAAGAUGGUAUUUCCUAUUUUGAGUAAAUACCUGUGAGCGAUACCAUCUUAUGUUAAAAACCAUCUUAUGUUGCUUAUUGUGGCUUGCAAAGUUUUUGUUACCUGACCCCAUGUUCCGCUACUAUUUGUUUGCCCAACAUUUAACCCGCUGACUAGGAGAUUUCUGAUCACAGGCCUGCCUUAGUUAAUGUCAGGCUUGUGAUCAAAAAUCUCCCUGCCAGCUAGGUAAUUGCUGGGCAAAAAUGAGUAGCAGAACAGGGGGUCAGAUAACAAAAACUUUGCAAGCCACAACACAACAAAAACGUUAAAAGAACAAUACAAAUGAAAUACAUGAGCUGCUUUAUGCCUUUGUCUGAUCUCACUGCAUCUUUAUUUAUAUUUAUUUAUUUUUUAUGCUAGAUUAUUACUGCAGUGGAGCUGAUUUUCAAAUCACACUGCUUAUAAGCUUGAAUAGAGGCAUAAUACUGUCUCCUGUGCAUAGUAAUACACUUGUAAUUUUUAACAAGUAAAUUACUUCCAAGAUAUUGAAAAACAGGCAGCAAAAUUUGACAAAAUACCUCAUGAUGUCAGUACUAGUUAUUAACAUAAUGUGCAAAACCCAAACUACCCUUUUAAGCUUAC